UGGGGAAUUUUGGACAAUGGGCGAAAGCCUGAUCCAGCAAUGCCGCGUGUGUGAAGAAGGCCUUCGGGUUGUAAAGCACUUUUGUCCGGAAAGAAAUCCUUGGCUCUAAUACAGUCGGGGGAUGACGGUACCGGAAGAAUAAGCACCGGCUAACUACGUGCCAGCAGCCGCGGUAAUACGUAGGGUGCAAGCGUUAAUCGGAAUUACUGGGCGUAAAGCGUGCGCAGGCGGUUUGCUAAGACCGAUGUGAAAUCCCCGGGCUCAACCUGGGAACUGCAUUGGUGACUGGCAGGCUAGAGUAUGGCAGAGGGGGGUAGAAUUCCACGUGUAGCAGUGAAAUGCGUAGAGAUGUGGAGGAAUACCGAUGGCGAAGGCAGCCCCCUGGGCCAAGUACUGACGCUCAUGCACGAAAGCGUGGGGAGCAAACAGGAUUAGAUACCCUGGUAGUCCACGCCCUAAACGAUGUCAACUAGUUGUUGGGGAUUCAUUUCCUUAGUAACGUAGCUAACGCGUGAAGUUGACCGCCUGGGGAGUACGGUCGCAAGAUUAAAACUCAAAGAAUU
rnacentral:rRNA from 1 species